UACGGGGGGGGGCAAGCGUUUGUUCGGAAUUACUGGGCGUAAAGGGCUCGUAGGCGGCCAACUAAGUCGGACGUGAAAUCCCCAGGCUCAACCUGGGAACUGCGUCCGAUACUGGAUGGCUUGAAUCCGGGAGAGGGAUGCAGAAUUCCAGGUGUAGCGGUGAAAUGCGUAGAUAUCUGGAGGAAUACCGGUGGCGAAGGCGGCAUCCUGGACCGGCAUUGACGCUGAGGAGCGAAAGCCAGGGGGAGCAAACGGG
rnacentral:rRNA from 1 species